UCCCCUCCAAGUACUUGGGGGUUCAGUAGGUGCCAAUAUGUCUCUUAAAAGGAAUUUUCAGCCUAUAAUCGAUUAUGUCCAAAUAUGUCUCUUAAAAGGAAUUUUCAGCCUAUAAUCGAUUAUGUCCAAAUAUGUCUCUUAAAAGGAAUUUUCAGCCUAUAAUCGAUUAUGUCCAAAUAUGUCUCUUAAAAGGAAUUUUCAGCCUAUAAUCGAUUAUGUCCAAGGCAGAUUAUCCACAUGGAAAGCAAAAAAAUUAUCAUUCGGUGGCCGGAUUACUCUCAUCAAGUCUGUACUUUGAAGUUCCCCAGUUUAUUUUCUCUCGUUUUUAAUGCCAA
rnacentral:lncRNA from 1 species